GCCAGAGUAGCUUAAUGGUAAAGCAAUUCUUUCGUAAAGAGGAGAUUGUGAGUUCGAUUCUCACCUCUGGCU
rfam:Parcubacteria bacterium 33_209 MPI_scaffold_1389, whole genome shotgun sequence.